rnacentral:lncRNA from 1 species
AUCUCGAGAGGAUGAGUGGGAGUGCGUGCAUUAGAGGAUGUAUGUGGAAGUAAAACAGAUCCCUCAGGCCUGCUAGCCUAUCCUACUGCAUUUGUCAUUCCUGCCAGGGCGACAUUUUUUCCCCCUAAGCUUCUGCACACUAAAGAGAGUGAGAGCUUUUUCCCUGCAGUCUUCUUGAAGCCCCCCUGGUUUUUUUACUCAGUGUUGAAAAUGAGUCUGGAAGAAAAUUGGUGAAUCCAAUCCAGAGGACGUACAAGCACUCUGACAGGCUCAGAGAGCAGAGUCUGUACCAAAGAGCAAUUACCCCACCAAACGAUUUCAGUUUCUGGCUCUUUUACUCCAUUGCACUUUGCUUUCUCAUCUUGAUGCCUUGUUCUUUUCCUGGCAAGAAACUUGGAAGAUCAAUAAAAGCCAGGGGAAAAAUAGAUGCCAGAACAGCCUAAACUUCAUAAGGUAAUCUGUGGGAAAUAUUUUAAAUGAGGGCAAGGAUAUUGGAUUUGGGGCAAGACGAUAAUGAUGGUUAGAUUGAUUAGAA